GUGCCAGCAGCCGCGGUAAUACGUAGGGGGCAAGCGUUGUCCGGAUUUAUUGGGCGUAAAGCGCUCGCAGGUGGUUCAUUGCGUCGUGCGUGAAAGACCCCGGCUCAACUGGGGAGGGUCGUGCGAAACGGGUGAACUAGAGGCCAGUAGGGGGAUGCGGAAUUCCGGGUGUAGUGGUGGAAUGCGUAGAGAUCCGGAGGAACACCAGCGGCGAAGGCGGCAUCCUGGACUGGUCCUGACACUCAGGAGCGAAAGCGUGGGGAGCGAUCCGGAUUAGAUACCCGGGUAGUCC
rnacentral:rRNA from 1 species